GUGUCAGCAGCCGCGGUAAUACGUAGGUGGCCAGCGUUAUCCGGAAUCAUUGGGCGUAAAGCGCGUGCAGGUGGUUCCGUUAGUCGGACGUGAAAUCUCCUGGCUUAACUGGGAGGGGCCGUUCGAUACUGCGGAGCUUGAGGUCGGGAGAGGGACGUGGAAUUCCCGGUGUAGUGGUGGAAUGCGUAGAUAUCGGGAGGAACACCAGUGGCGAAGGCGGCGUCCUGGCCCGCACCUGACACUCAGACGCGAAAGCGUGGGGAGCGAACGGGAUUAGAUACCCGGGUAGUCC
rnacentral:rRNA from 1 species